rnacentral:rRNA from 1 species
CAGUAGCCGCGGGAAUACGAAGGGGGCUAGCGUUGUUCGGAAUUACUGGGCGUAAAGCGCACGUAGGCGGACAUUUAAGUCAGGGGUGAAAUCCCGGGGCUCAACCCCGGAACUGCCUUUGAUACUGGGUGUCUUGAGUGUGGAAGAGGUCAGUGGAAUUGCGAGUGUAGAGGUGAAAUUCGUAGAUAUUCGCAGGAACACCAGUGGCGAAGGCGGCUGACUGGUCCACAACUGACGCUGAGGUGCGAAAGCGUGGGGAGCAAACAGGAUUAGAUACCCGUGUAGUCCCUGUCUCUUAUAC